UAUGAUACUGGGAUUAAGGAUGAGUGAUUACUAAAUUACUCCACUGAUUGGUUUGGUGUAGUUCUGGAAGGACCCACCCUGGGUGUGAAUGCCAUCACUCUGCCUUGGAGCCAGCCAAUUAUGGACUGAAACUUCUACAAACUGAGCUAAGUAAACCUUUCCUUCUCUAACUUUGGGUGUCAGGUAUUUUGUCUCAACAAUGAGAGAAAAGUUAACUAAGACAUAGUUAACGAUGUUAAAAUAACUAUGUUAAAAAUAACUAUGUUAAAAAAAAACUAUGUUAAAAAUAACUAAGACAGUUAUUUCACUCUCUCCUCUGCUGGACUUUCUCUGACUUUGUCAGACAGACUUAUUAGGAAGGAGAGUUUAUGGCAUUGAGCAUUUUCUUUGAGCUGUUUGCUAAGCUGAUCACUUUGCUGUAUGAUUUAACUUUUAGGUCCAUUUAACUUUUCUGCAUCAAUCCUAGGAGUAAAGCAUGAAUAGCAUCAUUUUCUUGGGGACAUAAACAGUCCUGUCCUCACUCAGCGGUUCCUGAGUUUUGAGCACCUACCUGGUACGGAUGUUGAAAUGCAAAUGGAGUUCACACUCCUGCACUACUGGAAGCUGGAGCUGUGGAAGUGGUGCCUGUGGGUGAAAGCACAGAGGAGUCUAGUCCUCUAGCAUCUGAAGUGAGGACCACACGUGUUCCAAAGACUGUGGCUCAGGCAGGGUUACACAGAGGAAACAAGUCCUUGAACAGAAGGUCCUCUGGGGUCCCGAGACACAGGCCAUCUGUAAUAACAAUGUGCAGCACACAGCGGAAAAUGCAUGGAGACAUGGAGCCCCAGUUCUCAGCUCACAGAGCACCUGGAGGAAAAAAAAAAGCUUCAAGAUACUACAUAAGAUCAAGAUCAUUUAAAAGAUCUUCCCAGCUCUACAAGAUCAGCCUGGCCCAGAGUAACACAUGUCAUCUCCCCAGGUUUACAUUGUUUCUGAAAAUAAAG
rnacentral:lncRNA from 1 species